GGAAAACCCUAUCCGCUAGCAACGCAAACGUCCAUCAAAUCGGCGAAGGCGAGAGAGAGGAGAAGAAAAUCGAAGUAUCGACGAUGCCCUUGUUGCCACUAAUGAGUUUUCAGAGUGUGGCGGAGGCUAUCUACAAGAUAAUGCUUCCCGCAAGAUGUAUCCUCUCCAGUAAGAAAAUGUACCUCCUAACCGUCAUGAUCCUAGCUUUGCUAUUCUAUGUGUAUAUCACAUGUCAUGCAAGGGAAAACGACCCAUCUACUUUUGAGACACAUAUUAGGCGAUUAUUGAUCAGCACUGAAUUAAGGAAAAGUCCAUCUGCUCCUAGGAAUCUACCUUAAAUAUAUUAUGUGCAUCAUUAUUGCAAAGUGCAAUCCUUGCACCAUGGACCAAGAUUCACAGUGUAUUGUUGAUCUAUGCUGGGGGAAAAGGUUUGGAAUAUAGCUUUGGUGUCUGUAUGUAGUAUAGGUCUGGAAUAUAGCUUUGGUGUUUGAUGACCAUGUCAUAUUGCAUAGACUUGCAAAAUACUUUUACUCUAUGGUUUCUGUUUGCUUUCUAAUAUGUUUUUCAGUAUUUGCACAAUUCUGUAUUUAGUAUAGGUUUGGAAUAUAGCUUUGGUGUUUGGUGACCAUGUCAUAUUGUCAUAGACUUACAAAAUACUUUCUCUAUGGUUUCUGUUUGCUUUCUAGUAUGCUUUCAGUAUUUGCACAAUUCUGUAUGUUGUAUAGGUUUGGAAUAUAGCUUUGGUGUUUGGUGACCA